CGCAUCUGUGCAUGCAGCAUAUCAAUAAGCGGAGGAAAAGAAACUAACAAGGAUUCCCUUAGUAACGGCGAGUGAAGCGGGAAGAGCUCAAAUUUGAAAUCUUCAAGGUUUUACCUUGACGAAUUGUAGUUUAAAGAAGUGUUUUCUGCUGAAGUUUUGGUAAAAGUUCUUUGGAAUAGGACAUCAUAGAGGGUGAGAAUCCCGUAUUUGACCAUUAUUUUCAGCUUUGUGAUACACUUUCAAAGAGUCGGAUUGUUUGGGAAUGCAGUCCAAAAUGGGUGGUAAAUUCAUCUAAAGCUAAAUAUUGGCGAGAGACCGAUAGCGAACAAGUACCGUGAGGGAAAGAUGAAAAGAACUUUGAAAAGAGAGUUAAACAGUACGUGAAAUUGUCAAAAGGGAAGUGUUUGACACCAGUGUUCGUUUUCUCGAAAAUCAAUUAAAAAUGGCUCGAUUUUGUAUUGCUGAGACCUUAAAAGCUCACUGUACAUUUUUCGCGUCUUUUUUAAUGCACUUUUCGUUUAACAAGUCAACAUCAGUUUCUUUUGUUGUAAAAGGGUCAUUGGAAGGUGGCUUUCUUUUCGGAGAAAGUGUUUAUAGCCUUUGGCCUCUGCAAUCGGAGAGACUGAGGUCUGCAGCGUAGACUCUUCGGGGUUAGAUACAUUUGUGCUAAGUUAUAGCUAUUUAUAGACAACUUGUUGACUAUAAUUAGUCUUGUAGCUUACUCGCUUAUGCUAUUUUACCUACGCUUAGGAUGUUGACGCAUGAGAUAUACGC
rnacentral:rRNA from 1 species